rnacentral:rRNA from 1 species
CGAUGCAUCUAGAUUGCGGAUCCGCGGCCGCAGAGUUUGAUCCUGCUCAGGAUGAACGCUGGCGGCGUGCCUAACACAUGCAAGUCGAACGGGGAUCUAGAGGAAAAGGUACUUGUACCUCGGAAUUUAGAUUCUAGUGGCGGAUGGGUGAGUAACACGUGAGCAACCUGCCUUGAUCAGGGGGAUAACAACGGGAAACCGUUGCUAAUACCGCAUAAUAUGCCGCUGGGGCAUCCCAGUGGCAUCAAAGGAGUAAUCCGGAUUGUGAUGGGCUCGCGUCCGAUUAGUUAGUUGGUGAGGUAACGGCUCACCAAGACUGCGAUCGGUAGCCGGACUGAGAGGUUGACCGGCCACAUUGGGACUGAGACACGGCCCAGACUCCUACGGGAGGCAGCAGUGGGGAAUAUUGGGCAAUGGGGGAAACCCUGACCCAGCGACGCCGCGUGAAGGAUGAAGGCCUUCGGGUUGUAAACUUCUUUGAUCGGGGACGAUAAUGACGGUACCCGAGGAACAAGCCACGGCUAACUACGUGCCAGCAGCCGCGGUAAUACGUAGUGGCAAGCGUUAUCCGGAUUUACUGGGUGUAAGGGCGUGUAGCGGGUUUUCAAGUCGGAUGUGAAAA